GCCUUUGUGGUGUAAUGGUCAGCACACUCGGUGUGUAUUCGAAAGGUCGAGGUUCGAGUCCCGACGAGGGCA
rnacentral:tRNA from 1 species